GACGAACGCUGGCGGCGUGCUUAACACAUGCAAGUCGAACGGAAAGGCCCUGCUUUUGUGGGGUGCUCGAGUGGCGAACGGGUGAGUAACACGUGAGUAACCUGCCCUUGACUUUGGGAUAACUUCAGGAAACUGGGGCUAAUACCGGAUAGGAGCUCCUGCUGCAGGGUGGGGGUUGGAAAGUUUCGGCGGGUGGGGAUGGACGCGCGGCUUAUCAGCUUGUUGGUGGGGUAGUGGCUUACCAAGGCUUUGACGGGUAGCCGGCCUGAGAGGGUGACCGGCCACCUUGGGACUGAGAUACGGCCCAGACUCCUACGGGAGGCAGCAGUGGGGAAUAUUGCACAAUGGGCGGAAGCCUGAUGCAGCGACGCCGCGUGCGGGAUGCCGGCCUUCGGGUUGUAAACCGCUUUCGCCUGUGACGAAGCGUGAGUGACGGUAAUGGGUAAAGAAGCACCGGCUAACUACGUG
rnacentral:rRNA from 1 species